CCUACGGGUGGCAGCAGUAAGGAAUAUUGGUCAAUGGACGAAAGUCUGAACCAGCCAUCGCGCGGGCAGGAUGAAAGCCCUAUGGGUUGUAAACUGCUUUUAGCAGAGAAGAAAAGCUUUCAUUAAUGAGAGUCUGACGGUAUCUGCAGAAUAAGCACCGGCUAACUCCGUGCCAGCAGCCGCGGUAAUACGGAGGGUGCGAGCGUUAUCCGGAAUUACGGGGUUUAAGGGGUGCGUUGACGGCGUUGGAGAAAUCUUGUCGCGUAACGAUAAAAUUGCCAAUGUUACUGGUACUCUUGAAUUGGGUUGAGGUUAGCGGAAUGUGACAUGUAGCGGUGAAAUGCAUAGAUAUGUCAUGGAACACCAAUUGCGAAGGCAGCUAACUGGGCCUUGAUUGACGCUGAGGCACGAAAGCGUGGGUAGCGAACAGGAUUAGAUACCCGAGUAGUC
rnacentral:rRNA from 1 species